AAAAUUAAAUACAGUAUGGAUUUUGAUAAACGACAGUGUGGAUUUAGGCAGGUGCGUGUUUACACAAUUACGUCAUUGAUAUCUGUGUAAAACACAUGAGUACACCACAGCGAACAAAAUUGCUGGUUUGUAAAACCUUGGAAGAGGCUUUAAGGAAAAUCCAGGAGCUGGAAAUGCAAGAUAAUUUGUGCCUGACUCUAGUACGAAGAAUUUUGGGAAGACGAUUUGGCCUAAAAAGACCUGUAGCAGUUAACAAGCUAUUAGAUGCACAAUAGCACAAAAUGACCACCACCACUAUCACCCUAAAGUGUGUGCUUGGUGUCUGUCUACACGUGCUUGCUUCUGGAAUGUUGAAGAACAAACUGUGUUGAAACGCCAACUGGAGUUGGUUAUGGACCUUUGCCGCCCUUCAUCCAGAGCCUUCCAAAGAGAUGGCAGAUAUAUCGCUGCCUGGACCAACAGUUGACCAUGCCGUUGAGUCCAUGAUAUCAGUAGCAGCCAUGAAAACAUCUACAGAAUUACAUCUGCGGCCGUGGCUAUUAAUGGAUACAUUCUGCACCACUUCCAUGUGCUGUCAGUUUGAAACGUCUCUACUCUGACAGAAGGAAGGGAAUGAAUACCCAGGAUUGUUCCUCAGGAAAAUCUCUUCAACAGGCUGUUGUCAGUUUGCAUGCUCUUUGGAUGGAAUUACUCUACCUUGGCUUGCAGAGAAUCUGUGAUAUAAAAGACCUCUUUUGUGCUGCAUUGUGUCAUUGAUUUAUUGUAUUUUAUAUGUAUUAUGCCACUAUUGUAAAAACAAAUGGGCAUAUGUUUUAGCGUAUGUUUUCAAACAGACACAUUUAUAUUUCAAACAGACACAUUUAUAUUUUUGAAUAAUUUGAAAAUACAUUUUGUAGGUUGACUUCAAUCCAUGAAACACUAAUGGUAGGUUAUAUUUGACCAGAACAUGACAAGUAUUGUUUUCGGAGUUUUUUGGUCGAAGGUGAAGGUAAUGGCUAACAGUGGUUAUUCUGCACAAUGAACCUUGAAUUCUUUGACCUAGGACCAUUAAUAUUUAGUGAUUGAUAUAUCAGUCCAACUCAUAUGUGAAAGGGACAUGAUGAAAUUGAGCAAGAGCUUAUUAGCAUUGCAAAUUAUUAUUUGUUCAUUUUUAGCUCGACUAUUCGAAGAAUAGGUGGGCUAUACUAUCAUUAACAAUUCUGCGUUAAAGUUUUCAUUUUAUGUAAUAAAAUCAAGAGUUUUUAUCCAAUGGUAAUCAAACUUGGUCAGACUAUUUGUCGGCAUGUUAUCUUGAAGAUGUAUGAAUAUGGGUCAUCCCUGGUCAAAUUCUAGGUCACUAGGUCACAUCUUAGAGAAAAUAUUUCCAUGUCAUAAAUUCAACAUUUUUUUCAUAUCUUUAUGAAACUUGGUCAGAAUAUUUGUCUGCAUACUAUCUUGAAA